ACACAUGCAAGUCGCGAAGACAGCGAUGGCAGUGGCGGACGGGUGAGUAACACGUAGGAAUCUAUCCUGGGGUGGGGGACAACAGCGGGAAACUGCUGCUAAUACCGCAUGAUACCUGAGGGUCAAAGGCGCAAGUCGCCUUGGGAGGAGCCUGCGUCUGAUUAGCUUGUUGGUGGGGUAAAGGCCUACCAAGGCGACGAUCAGUAGCUGGUCUGAGAGGAUGAUCAGCCACAUUGGGACUGAGACACGGCCCAAACUCCUACGGGAGGCAGCAGUGGGGAAUAUUGGAUAAUGGGGGAAACCCUGAUCCAGCAAUGCCGCGUGUGUGAAGAAGGUCUUCGGAUUGUAAAGCACUUUUGGCAGGGACGAUGAUGACGGUACCUGCAGAAUAAGCCCCGGCUAACUUCGUGCCAGCAGCCGCGGUAAUACGAAGGGGGCUAGCGUUGCUCGGAAUGACUGGGCGUAAAGGGCGCGUAGGCGGCGCGUACAGUCAGAAGUGAAAUUCCUGGGCUCAACCUGGGGACUGCUUUGAUACGUGCGUGCUUGAGUGAGGAAGAGGGUUGUGGAAUUUCCAGUGUAGAGGUGAAAUUCGUAGAUAUUGGAAAGAACACCGGUGGCGAAGGCGGCAACCUGGUCCUUUGCUGACGCUGAGGCGCGAAAGCGUGGGGAGCAAACAGGAUUAGAUACCCCUGGUAGUCCACGCUGUAAACGAUGUGUGCUGGAUGUUGGGAAACUUAGUUUUUCAGUGUCGUAGCUAACGCGAUAAGCACACCGCCUGGGGAGUACGGCCGCAAGGUUGAAACUCAAAGGAAUUGACGGGGGCCCGCACAAGCGGUGGAGCAUGUGGUUUA
rnacentral:rRNA from 1 species